rnacentral:rRNA from 1 species
GAUCGUCAUAAAAUGGUUGGAGGAAUGUAGCUUCGAUCUCGUAUUGAAGUGUUAUAGCCUUCGGCAGAUGUGAUGAUUGGGAUUGAGGAUUGCAACGAACCCUUCGGGGCUACCUGUCUGAUCUCUGAGAGUUGCUCUGGUGCUGAAAGCUUGCUUAUGGUAUCAAAGUUGACGUUCAAUAGGUUAGAACGGGAUAAGUUCGUUAAGGAUGUUGACGUAAUGGUUUUAAACGACCCGUCUUGAAACACGG